AAUGUUUAUGCAUGUCAUGAUGUAUUGCCUCAGUGUCUUAAUGUAUUUUGUUCAUAUGAGAAGCUUAAAAUUGUGAUUCCUUACAUUAUGUUUAAAUGUUUGUGAUUACUUACAUUCCAUGUUGUAUAGUGGCCAGAUUGGUUAUGUGGAGGCAAUUGCCCUUGCAAUCGAAAAGUUCGUCAUAUCAUUGGUGGGAUUUACUUUUCCCUAAAGAUGGACUAUUUAAAUGGGCAACUACAAAGAGUUUGCAUUAGAUUUUGAGGUUUACUGCACAUUCAGAAUUUUUUUGUUUAUUUUUAUUUUUAUUAAAUGGUUUGUCACCUCUUAUGAUACGAAGAUGAAUGAAACAACAACCAACUUUAGAUUCACCUACAUUCUAAAUAAACUUAUAUUCAUCACCUGCUAUGCUAAUAGUUAGUCUAGACAUCAUCUAUUUUCAUAUUGUUAAAGUUAUGUUUCACAGUUUCAUUCUGAUAACAAUUGAAAGGCCUCUAAUUGCAGUGAAGUUUCUUUUGACUUCAAGGGGAAAACAUAACGAAAAUUCCAAGGGAGAAGUUCUAUGACAUUACUGAUAUGCAGCUUGAGAACAACAACAACAACAUACUCAGUAUAAUCCCACAAGUGGGGUCUGGGGAGGGUAUAUACGCAGGCCUUACCUCUACCUUUGUGGGGUAGAGAGGCUUGAGUGCAUCAAAACAUAUUGACCUGGUGCAGAGAACCAGUUUUGAAGAACUCACCAGAGACGGUGAAAGGCAUGUUUGAAUCAGAAAACAAAAGGAAAAGAAGUGCAAAGAAUGCAAUAGUGUUCACGAUGGGAUGUUUAAUUGGAAGUGGAAGGCAGAGAUUCUUAGUGAUGAUUGUUUUCAAGAAAGUAUUGAUGAACUCCUGUAAAUGUGAUGGAUAUGAGUCUAAAUACUGCUUUUGGAGGAUGAAGAGACCAACGAUCCCUAUUUUCCUCAUGUAUGACAUUUAUCUGUAUCAAACGAAAAGCUACAACUAUCAUUUACUAAUUAAAA